rnacentral:tRNA from 1 species
GUCCGAGCUGGCCGAAGGAGCACGCCUGGAAAGUGUGUAGGCGUCACAAGCGUCUCAAGGGUUCGAAUCCCUUACCUU